UAGUAUUUCAUUUUCUUUUUUAAAGGUGAUUUUAUUUAGGUAGAGAAAAGAGAAGAAGAGAAAGACUUCCGUGAAGAUUGUGGAAGGGGUUUUCAGAGGGGAAAUCCCAGAGAGGAAAGGGAGCUCCCACCAAUGUUGGGAGGGAAUUCCAGAGAGCUGGAAAUCCAGUGUGGGUGAAGGAGCAGGGGAAUUUAUCCUGGGAGAAAUUC